GACGAACGCUGGCGGCGUGCUUAACACAUGCAAGUCGAACGGAAAGGCCCUGCUUUUGUGGGGUGCUCGAGUGGCGAACGGGUGAGUAACACGUGAGUAACCUGCCCUUGACUUUGGGAUAACUUCAGGAAACUGGGGCUAAUACCGGAUAGGAGCUCCUGCUGCAUGGUGGGGGUUGGAAAGUUUCGGCGGUUGGGGAUGGACUCGCGGCUUAUCAGCUUGUUGGUGGGGUAGUGGCUUACCAAGGCCUUGACGGGUAGCCGGCCUGAGAGGGUGACCGGCCACAUUGGGACUGAGAUACGGCCCAGACUCCUACGGGAGGCAGCAGUGGGGAAUAUUGCGCAAUGGGCGGAAGCCUGAUGCAGCAACGCCGCGUGCGGGAUGACGGCCUUCGGGUUGUAAACCGCUUUCGCCUGUGACGAAGCGUGAGUGACGGUAAUGGGUAAAGAAGCACCGGCUAACUACGUG
rnacentral:rRNA from 1 species